GCUGAGCUAGCUCAGCUGGUAGAGCAUGAGACUCUUAAUCUCAGGGUUGUGGAUUCGAGCCCCAUGUUGGAUG
rnacentral:tRNA from 1 species